rnacentral:rRNA from 1 species
CUUGGCGGCCAUAGCGGUGUGGUCCCACCUGUUCCCAUCCCGAACACAGAAGUGAAACGCACCCGCGCCGAUGGUAGUGUGGCUUAAGCCAUGCAAGAGUAGGUCACUGCCAAGG